AAAAAAAAAAAAAAAAAAAAAAAAAAAAAAAAAAAA
rnacentral:ncRNA from 3 species